CCUACGGGAGGCAGCAGUGGGGAAUAUUGGACAAUGGGCGAAAGCCUGAUCCAGCCAUGCCGCGUGUGUGAAGAAGGUCUUCGGAUUGUAAAGCACUUUAAGUUGGGAGGAAGGGUUGUAGAUUAAUACUCUGCAAUUUUGACGUUACCGACAGAAUAAGCACCGGCUAACUCUGUGCCAGCAGCCGCGGUAAUA
rnacentral:rRNA from 1 species